CAGUAGCCGCGGGAAUACGUAGGUGGCAAGCGUUGUCCGGAAUUAUUGGGCGUAAAGGGCUCGCAGGCGGUUUCUUAAGUCUGAUGUGAAAGCCCCCGGCUCAACCGGGGAGGGUCAUUGGAAACUGGGAAACUUGAGUGCAGAAGAGGAGAGUGGAAUUCCACGUGUAGCGGUGAAAUGCGUAGAGAUGUGAAGGAACACCAGUGGCGAAGGCGACUCUCUGGUCUGUAACUGACGCUGAGGAGCGAAAGCGUGGGGAGCGAACAGGAUUAGAUACCCCUGUAGUCCCUGUCUCUUAUAU
rnacentral:rRNA from 1 species